rnacentral:rRNA from 1 species
CCCUUAGAUGUUCUGGGCUGCACGCGCGCUACACUGACGCACGCAACAGGUGCCUGCUCCGAGAGGACUGGGUAAUCAUUUGAGUGUGCGUCGUGAUGGGGAUAGAAUAUUGUAAUUAUUACUCUUCAACGAGGAAUUCCUAGUAAGCGCCAGUCAGCAGCUUGCGCUGAUUACGUCCCUGCCCUUUGUACACACCGCCCGUCGCUCCUACCGAUUGGGUGUGCUGGUGAAAUGUUCGGAUCGGCCGUUUGUCGCGGUUUCCGCGUCAUGUGGCUGAGAAGUUCAUUAAACCCUCCCACCGAGAGGAAGGAGAAGUCGUAACA